AAUAAUAGUACUAGUGCUAAACAUAAGCUACAGUGUAUUGAAUUCAUUUCUACAUGUAUUACACUGUAGCUUAUGUUUAGCACUAGUACUAUUUAAUUUAUCU